rnacentral:tRNA from 1 species
UGUAGUUAAAAACUGUAUGGUAAAUCGUGGCUAUGUGGUGCUGAAUUAAAUCUAAUUUGCAGCUAGUUAACAAAAG